UACGUAGGGGGCAAGCGUUGUUCGGAAUUACUGGGCGUAAAGGGCGCGUAGGCGGCACGGCAAGUCGGGAGUGAAAGCCCGGGGCUCAACCCCGGAGGGUCUUCCGAAACUGCCGAGCUAGAGUGCGGAAGAGGCAACCGGAAUUCCCAGUGUAGCGGUGAAAUGCGUAGAUAUUGGGAAGAACACCCGUAGCGAAGGCGGUUCUCUGGGCCAAUACUGACGCUGAGGAGCGAAAGCGUGGGGAGCAAACAGG
rnacentral:rRNA from 1 species